UACGGAGGGUGCAAGCGUUGUCCGGAUUUAUUGGGUUUAAAGGGUGCGUAGGUGGCCGUUUAAGUCAGCUUUGAAAGCUGGUCGCUCAACGAUCAGGGGUGGGUUGAUACUGGACGGCUUGGAUCAGGUGGCGGUUUCUGGAACGGGUCGUGUAGCGGUGAAAUGCAUAGAUGUGACCCAGAACUCCGAUUGCGAAGGCAGGAGGCUACGCCUGGAUUGACACUGAGGCACGAGAGCAUGGGGAGCAAACAGG
rnacentral:rRNA from 1 species